rnacentral:rRNA from 1 species
UACGUAGGCAGCAAGCGUUGUUCGGAGUUACUGGGCGUAAAGGGUGCGUAGGCGGCUAUUUAAGUUUGGUGUGAAAUCUCCCGGCUCAACUGGGAGGGUGCGCCGAAUACUGAGUGGCUAGAGUGCGGGAGAGGAAAGUGGAAUUCCUGGUGUAGCGGUGAAAUGCGUAGAUAUCAGGAGGAACACCGGUGGUGUAAACGGCUUUCUGGACCGUAACUGACGCUGAGGCACGAAAGCGUGGGGAGCAAACAGG